rnacentral:rRNA from 1 species
CCAAUAGCGUAUAUUAAAGUUGCUGCAGUUAAAAAGCUCGUAGUUGAAUUUCGGGACUAAUAUGUCGGUCGUGCCUCGGUACGUACUGGUUUAUUGGUUUCUCCUUUCGGAAGAACCAUGAUGUCAUUUAUUUGGUGUCGUGGGGAAUCAGGACUGUUACUUUGAAAAAAUUAGAGUGUUUAAAGCAGGCUCACGCUUGAAUACAUUAGCAUGGAAUAAUGAAAUAGGACGUUUGAUUCUAUUUUGUUGGUUUCUAGGAUCGACGUAAUGAUUAAUAGGGAUAGUUGGGGGCAUUAGUAUUCAAUUGUCAGAGGUGAAAUUCUUGGAUUUAUUGAAGACUAACUACUGCGAAAGCAUUUGCCAAGGAUGUUUUCAUUAAUCAAGAACGAAAGUUAGGGGAUCGAAGACGAUCAGAUACCGUCGUAGUCUUAACCAUAAACUAUGCCGACUAGGGAUCGGAUGAUGUUAAUUUUUUAAUGACUCAUUCGGCGCCUUACG